AUGUAUUUUUUGGCUCUGUCCUCAGGUCUCUUGUUGGCUGCCCACUCGCCAUUACCUCACGCUGCAGGAGCUGCCCGGGGUGGCUGGGACAGCGUGUCCAUGGAUGGCAAGGGGCCACACACGUCCUUGCAGCCGAGCUGGAGGUCCCAAGAGCAAAGAGGGAAAGCAUCGGCUGCAAGGCCCUUCGUGCAAGAGCAGCUUAGUCAGGCACGCUGUUGCUCCGAGGGGGGCUCGGACAGCUCUUGUGGAGGAGUCCUAAGGAGGAUCCCCCACCGCAGCCCCCAGUGCUGGCAGCUGCAGCAGCGCAGGCCCAGGCUCCCCCAGCACCCAACCGCCCCCACGCCCAUGCCCCGCCGGCCCCACGCGCUGGCAAAGCCGGCAGCAACCCCCGGCCCGGGAAGCGGUCGCGAGGGGAAGGCCGAGGAGAGGGCGGCCCCGCCUGGGCCGGCUGCGGGCGGCGCGGCGGGGCCGGCGCGACGAAGGAAGAAGGAGGCGCCGGGGCUCGCUCGGGGGGAGCCGCGCGUGGGGCGCCAUUUUGCCCAGCAGCGCUCUGAGGAAGGGGCGUGCGCCGCCUCCCGAGGGAGCGGGCAGACGAGCCCAGGGGGAAACGAGGCCGCGCUCGCCCGCCCCGACCACCCCCUUGUCCCUCAGAGGAGGCGGCGAGCGAGGCGAGGCCCGGCCCGCGGCCUCCCCUCGCGGAAGCGACGACCCGAGGCCGCCAGCUGCCCCCAGCACGGCCGCGAGCGCCCCACAAGCCGCAGCCCCGCCCCUCGGCGGGGGGGGAGGAGGCGAUGGGCGCGCGCCCAGCCCCGCCCCGCCCCGCCCCUCGGCGGGGGGGAGGAGGGCAGGAGGAGGCGAUGGGCGCGCGCCCCGCCCCGCCCCUCGGCCGGGGAGGGGGGGAGGAGGAGGUGUCGCGCGCGCGCCCGGCCCCGCCGUGCCCGCGUCCCGUGCGGCCGCCAUGUUGUUGUGGUUGUGAGAGGAGGCGGCGGCAGCGAGGAGCCG
rnacentral:lncRNA from 1 species